CUCCUGGAAAACGGGUGGUAAUACCGGAUGCUCCGCCCCACCGCAUGGUGGGGUGGGAAAUGCUUUUUGCGGCAUGGGAUGGGGUCGCGUCCUAUCAGCUUGUUGGCGGGGUGAUGGCCCACCAAGGCGUUGACGGGUAGCCGGCCUGAGAGGGUGACCGGCCACAUUGGGACUGAGAUACGGCCCAGACUCCUACGGGAGGCAGCAGUGGGGAAUAUUGCACAAUGGGCGCAAGCCUGAUGCAGCGACGCCGCGUGCGGGAUGGAGGCCUUCGGGUUGUAAACCGCUUUUGUUCAAGGGCAAGGCACGGCUUCGGGCCGUGUUGAGUGGAUUGUUCGAAUAAGCACCGGCUAACUACGUGCCAGCAGCCGCGGUAAUACGUAGGGUGCGAGCGUUAUCCGGAUUUAUUGGGCGUAAAGGGCUCGUAGGCGGUUCGUCGCGUCCGGUGUGAAAGUCCAUCGCCUAACGGUGGAUCUGCGCCGGGUACGGGCGGGCUGGAGUGCGGUAGGGGAGACUGGAAUUCCCGGUGUAACGGUGGAAUGUGUAGAUAUCGGAAAAGAACACCCC
rnacentral:rRNA from 1 species